rnacentral:rRNA from 1 species
GGGUUGUGAGGUUAAGCGACUAAGCGUACACGGUGGAUGCCCUGGCAGUCAGAGGCGAUGAAGGACGUGCUAAUCUGCGAUAAGCGUCGGUAAGGUGAUAUGAACCGUUAUAACCGGCGAUUUCCGAAUGGGGAAACCCAGUGUGAUUCGUCACACUAUCAUUAACUGAAUCCAUAGGUUAAUGAGGCGAACCGGGGGAACUGAAACAUCUAAGUACCCCGAGGAAAAGAAAUCAACCGAGAUUCCCCCAGUAGCGGCGAGCGAACGGGGAGGAGCCCAGAGCCUGAAUCAGUGUGUGUGUUAGUGGAAGCGUCUGGAAAGGCGCGCGAUACAGGGUGACAGCCCCG